rnacentral:rRNA from 1 species
CGGCAACCCCUACGUUUAGUUGCUAACGCGUGAAGGCGAGCACUCUAGACGAACUGCCGUUGACAAAACGGAGGAAGGUGGGGAUGACGUCAAAUCAUCAUGCCCCUUAUGUUCUGGGCUACACACGUGCUACAAUGGCCGGUACAGACGGACGCAAAGCCGCGAGGUGGAGCAAAUCCUAAAAAGCCGGUCUCAGUUCGGAUUGCAGGCUGCAAUUCGCCUGCAUGAAGUCGGAAUCGCUAGUAAUCGCAGGUCAGCAUACUGCGGUGAAUACGUUCCCGGGCCUU